rnacentral:lncRNA from 1 species
UUUUUAUUUGAGUCUCCAUCUUCUCUUAUAAAGCGCCAGCUAGGGAGCACUAUGAUCAUACUUGUGCAUCUGAUGUAGCUAAUAUUCGUGUGUGUUUCAUGAAUGGAUCAAUGAUUGAGCAUGAUGGGCUAGGGAUAGCUUUCUUUAGUGUUAAUAUUUUGAACGACAUGGUUGCUUAUUGAUAUGCUUGAGUAUUGAUGUCCUCAUGUCAAUUAGAGAGUAUUGCUUUGAAUCAUGUAAAUGUCCAAAUGUCCAUGCUACGAAAAAAAAGAAUAUGUGAUGAACAUGUUAGGCGGCAUUCCACUUUAAAAAUUCUAUUUUUUUAUCAUUUACCUGCUCGAGGACGAGCAGGAAUUAAGCUUGGGGAUGCUGAUACGUCUCCAAUGUAUCUAUAAUUUUUUAUUGUUCCAUGUUGCUAUAUUAUCAAUCUUGGAUGUUUUACAUUCAUUUACUAGCAACUUUAUCUCAUUUUUUGGGACUAACCUAUUGACAUAGUGCCAAGUGCCAGUUGCUGUUUUUUGCUUGUUUUUUAUUUCACAGAAUAUCCAUAUCAAACGAAGUCCAAAUGCAGCGAAACAUUUUGGAGAUUUUUUCUGCCUAGAAGAGACCUAGGGAGCCCAAGAGGUGUACCUACUACAAUAGGAACCCCCCUCUAGUAACACAUUUUCCGUAUCUAAAAGCCCAUAUAUGUGUUGCAGGUGUCUUUACCAAUGAUUUGGGAUGCGUAGCCUUGUCCCGUGUUGCUAGCGCAUAAUGCAACGCGUAUUCUUCUGUUGGUAAAAGGACCAUUGCAAGAGUACAACACAUAAAACUAAAUUUUACAACACUUCUAUAUGUUGGUGAUUAACAUUCGUGAAUCCAAAUUUCAUUGCUUGGCAAUAUAGAAUGUGCAACGCUUAAGGUGUUUGUACAUAUGUAAUGUGGAUAUUACAUAUAUAAUGGUGAUAAUUAUGUAUUGGAUAUGUCCACACAGUGAGCAAAAAAAGUAAGAGAACAUACUCAAGAGAGGAAGAAAUCAUAUAUUGUAUUAAAUUGUUGGAUUACAAUAGUGGAUAUUACAUGAGGAACAUCAUCCCAAUGUGAUGCAUAAUCUAAAUAUUUUGUUGAUAUCCCUACAACUUAACCGAGGGACAUCAUCCAACAGGAGCAACAUCCCUACAACUUAACCAAAACAGAAGGCAUCCAUCAUCAUCAUCAUGAACCGGAUCAUCAUCAUCAUCAUGAACCAGAUCAUCAUCAUUGCAGUAUAC